rnacentral:lncRNA from 1 species
GUCAACGUAAUUUUAAGAGUUAAGUGUGAAAGAAUGUCUAUCAUAUUCAUCCUUGCCAUUAGUUUUCCUUCACUCCUGACAUUCCUAGUUUCCUUCCUUCUGUUGUGUCUAAAGUACCUCCUUUAUCAGUUCUUUUAGAUCCAGUCUGCUGGUGACAAACUUUUCCUUCAUCUGAGAAUGUCUUUAUUCACUCUCAUUCCUGAAGAAUAUUUUUACUGAAUGUAUAAUUAUGGGUUGACAGUUUUUUGCUUUCAGUACUUGAAAAAUAUUAUGCCACUUCCUUCUGAGGAGAAAUCUGAUGACAGCUGCUGCUGAGAACCCACUACCGCUCCAGUCACUGUCCCCUGUGGGCUGUGCAUCGCUCUCUCUGUGUGCUUUCAACAGUUUUUGUCUUUAGGCCGGGCGCAGUGGCUCAUAUUCAGCAUAAAAUACCCUAAAAAAAUCUAUGACAAAGGGCAGAUGAU